AGACUGUAUAGUUCAGUGGUAGAGAAUCUGCUUUGCAGGCAGAAGGUACCAAGUUCAAAUCCCGGCAUAGCUA